rnacentral:tRNA from 1 species
GGCCAGGUGGUGGAAUAGAAGACACGCCGGUCUCAGAAGCCGGUGCCCGAGAGGGCGUGCGGGUGCAACUCCCGCUCUGGUCA